rnacentral:sRNA from 1 species
UUAAAACUCUUUAAAAAU